rnacentral:rRNA from 1 species
CCUACCAUAUACAGGGGAAUAACCUUUCGAAAGGGAGACUAAUACCCCAUGGUAUUACUUUUAGGCAUCUCUUAGUAAUUAAAGAUUUAUUGGUAUAUGAUGGGCAUGCGUGCCAUUAGUUAGUUGGUGAGGUAACGGCUCACCAAGACAACGAUGGCUAGGGGUUCUGAGAGGAAGACCCCCCACACUGGUACUGAGACACGGACCAGACUCCUACGGGAGGCAGCAGUGAGGAAUAUUGGUCAAUGGACGGAAGUCUGAACCAGCCAUGCCGCGUGCAGGAAGACGGCCCUACGGGUUGUAAACUGCUUUUAUGUGAGAAUAACCCUAGUCUUGCGAGAUUAGCUGAAGGUAUCACAUGAAUAAGGAUCGGCUAACUCCGUGCCAGCAGCCGCGGUAAUACGGAGGAUUCGAGCGUUAUCCGGAUUUAUUGGGUUUAAAGGGUGCGUAGGCGGGCUAAUAAGUCAGUGGUGAAAUCACUCAGCUUAACUGAGUAACUGCCAUUGAUACUGUUAGUCUAAAAUAUAAAUGGUGCAGGCGGAAUGAAUCAUGUAGAGGUGACAUUCAUAGAUAUGAUUCAGAACACCGAUCGCGAAGGCAGCUUGCAAAGAUAUUAUUGACGCUGAGGCACGAAAGCGUGGGUAGCGAACAGGAUUAAUACCCUGUUAUUCACGCUGUAAACGAUGAUUACUC